rnacentral:misc_RNA from 1 species
UUAAGUUCAGCGGGUAUCCCUACCUAAUCCGAGGUCAAUCAUUAAAAAAUGGGGGGGUUCUGGCGAGUGUCCAUCAGACGUCUGUAGCGAGAAAAAUUACUACGCUUAGAGCCUGACAGCACUGCCACUGAUUUUAGAGGCUGCCCUUACAGCAGGCCUCAACACCAAGCUAGGCUUGAGGGGUGAUAAUGACGCUCGAA